CGCAAUUUGGGAAAGGCUUUUCUAAU
rnacentral:piRNA from 1 species